AGGAUGAACGCUGGCGGCGUGCUUAACACAUGCAAGUCGAACGAUUAAAGCCCUUUCGGGGGUGUAUAAAGUGGCGAACGGUGAGUAACACGUGGGCAACCUACCCUUCACUCUGGGAUAACUCAGGGAAACUUGAGCUAAUACCGGAUACUCCGGACUGAUCGCAUGGUCGGUCCGGGAAAGCUCCGGCAGUGAGGGAUGGGCCCGCGGUCCAUUAGCUUGUUGGUGGGGUAACGGCUCACCAAGGCUGCGAUGGAUAGCCGAGCUGAGAGGCUGAUCGGCCACACUGGGACUGAGACACGGCCCAGACUCCUACGGGAGGCAGCAGUGGGGAAUUUUGCGCAAUGGGCGAAAGCCUGACGCAGCAACGCCGCGUGCGGGAUGAAGGCCUUCGGGUUGUAAACCGCUUUCAGCAGGGACGAAAUUGACGGUACCUGCAGAAGAAGCCCCGGCUAAAUACGUGCCAGCAGCCGCGGUAAUACGUAUGGGGCAAGCGUUAUCCGGAUUCAUUGGGCGUAAAGAGCGCGUAGGUGGCUUGUUAAGCGAGAUGUGAAAACCGGGGGCUCAACCCGCGGCCUGCAUCUCGAACUGGCAGGCUUGAGUCUGGUAGAGGAGUGUGGAAUUCCUAGUGUAGCGGUGAAAUGCGCAGAUAUUAGGAGGAACACCAGUGGCGAAGGCGGCACUCUGGGCCAGCACUGACACUGAGGCGCGAAAGCUAGGGGAGCAAACAGGAUUAGAUACCCUGGUAGUCCUAGCCGUAAACGAUGGGCACUAGGUGUGGGGGGUCAUCAACUCCCUCCGUGCCGCAGCUAACGCAUUAAGUGCCCCGCCUGGGGAGUACGACCGCAAGGUUAAA
rnacentral:rRNA from 1 species